CCUACGGGAGGCAGCAGUGAGGAAUAUUGGUCAAUGGGCGUAAGCCUGAACCAGCCAAGUCGCGUGAGGGAUUAAGGUUCUAUGGAUCGUACACCUCUUUUAUAAGGGAAUAAAGUGCGGGACGUGUCCCGUUUUGUAUGUACCUUAUGAAUAAGGAUCGGCUAACUCCGUGCCAGCAGCAGCGGUAAUACGGAGGAUCCGAGAGUUAUCCGGAUUUAUUGGGUUUAAAGGGUGCGUAGGCGGCCUUUUAAGUCAGCGGUGAAAGUCUGUGGCUCAACCAUAGAAUUGCCGUUGAAACUGGGAGGCUUGAGUAUGUUUGAGGCAGGCGGAAUGCGUGGUGGAGCGGGGAAAUGCUUAGAUAUCACGCAGAACCCCGAUUGCGAAGGCAGACUGCCAAGCCAUGACUGACGCUGAUGCACGAAAGCGUGGGGAUCAAACAGGAUUAGAUACCCCUGUAGUC
rnacentral:rRNA from 1 species